rnacentral:rRNA from 1 species
UACGUAGGUGGCAAGCGUUGUUCGGAAUUACUGGGCGUAAAGCGCACGUAGGCGGCUUUGUAAGUUAGAGGUGAAAGCCCGGAGUUCAACUCCGGAACUGCCUUUAAGACUGCAUCGCUUGAAUCCAGGAGAGGUGAGUGGAAUUCCGAGUGUAGAGGUGAAAUUCGUAGAUAUUCGGAAGAAUACCAGUGGCGAAGGCGGCUCACUGGACUGGUAUUGACGCUGAGGUGCGAAAGCGUGGGGAGCAAACAGG